GUGGUCUUGUGUUAGCAUUCUGUUGGGAAGGAAGAUAUUGUGGGUUCACAGCAGAACCUGUUAACCCCUGUCCUCUGUAGGCAAGAUUUUGAGUAGACGUGGGUGCGGCAUUCACACCCAUGAUUAUGCACGGCACUUUGUUAGUGCAUGAACUCGCAUUCUCGGACUUGAGGCAACACCAGAAGAGGUUGAGGAUCAAGAGAAACUGGCUCGAGUUGAAGAAAGAUUUAAAGGCAGAAAGGAACGGCUUCGGCAACACAAAAUCAGAAAUUGCAAUUACAUCCAAUUUUGGCAAGGUGUAAGGAGUGUCGAAGUGAUCCUUGUAUAGUCCCAAAGUUUCCACAGCAACAUCAAGUGCAAAUUCCCCUUGGUUUGCCUUGCAGACUUGACAAUACACUCGGACUUUGACCCCGUCGGGAGUAUGAUCUUCCACGUUAUCAAACAAACCAACGACGACAGCAACCAAAUAUGUUGACAUGAUUGGUGAUUCUUGAUACGAAACAGUUUUGAGAUUGUCAUUAAUUUUUCUUCAGCAACUGGUAUGUUGGAAAGAGCAACAGGGUCGGAAGGCACAUCCAAUGUAAUCUUGAAAGUGGCCUUGCAAGCAGGUUCAUCCCAACAAGGAAAGCAUCGUCUGGCAUCCGCUGGUUCAAACUGUGCAACCGCCAUAUUCCUCUUCUCACCAUUAUGCUUGUAUUGGCUUCUGUAAAAACCUUUCGUCCCAUCAUUCAAUAUUCCUUCAAACUGAAUAUUCAAUACACCCAAUCCAAAAGGUACUAAUGGAUGCAGGACUAAUCCAUAGCCAUUUCCUGCAGGAUAAUGAUGGUGUGAUGCUGUUGCAAAGCAAGAUGACAUAAGCUGCGACAACAAUAGUGGUUAAACUGUCAUGGAGUUCCUUGACCAACGGUUAGGGAAUUGGGUGGUGGAAGUGAACCUGACAUGGGCAAUGCUACUUGUGAAUGAGGGAAACAUGAUGGAAGCAAGCUAACGUGCACCUUGGAGGAUAAAUCAUGACUCAUGGGGAAUUCUUUUGGA